rnacentral:rRNA from 1 species
AUUGAACGCUGGCGGCAGGCCUAACACAUGCAAGUCGAGCGAGCGGCGGACGGGUGAGUAAUGUCUGGGAAACUGCCUGAUGGAGGGGGAUAACUACUGGAAACGGUAGCUAAUACCGCAUACCCUCAGAUGUGCCCAGAUGGGAUAAGAUAGAAGGUGGGGGAACGGCUCACCUAGGCGACGAUCCCUAGCUGGUCUGAGAGGAUGACCAGCCACACUGGAACAGAGACACGGGCCAGACUCCUACGGGAGGCAGCAGUGGGGAAUAUUGCACAAUGGGCGCAAGCCUGAUGCAGCCAUGCCGCGUGUGUGAAGAAGGCCUGCGGGUUGUAAAGCACUGUCAGCGGGGAGGCGUUAACCGCAGAAGAAGCACCGGCUAACUCCGUGCCAGCAGCCGCGGUAAUUC